rnacentral:miRNA from 1 species
ACCUCCACCGGCUUUCAGAACG